UAGCAAUUUUGGCUUAUCUGGAAAGGCGACUAGAAUUCACUAUUUGAAAGGGGUCUCAUUUUCUGCAGUCUUCUCUCUCUGCCUUCUCCCCAUCACUAUCUCAUUGGUCCCAUGAAGGUCCUUGUGGACAACCUGGAAUUGUGAAGUAUGGAUAUCUACAUGAAAGAGACAAAUGGUCACCCACUGACCUACAGUAUCUAAUUUAUGAGACUAUAGGAUGCAGACAGAACAUGAGCCCCAAUUGAUGCCAUAUGAACUAUGGAUGAUUUGGGAAAUUAUUCCAGAGGGUGAGGAAGAGAAGAGGUUGCACAAUCCCAGCAGUAAGAGUAAAAGGAUUUAAUGAGUUUGUGAUGAGGGGUGUAUCCCACACAGGCACUAAAAGGGUUAUGUUGUGCCUGAGAGGCCAAUUACACUACCUAGCUGCACCUUUGGGGUGGGCCAGGUUUAAUUGAAGCCCAGCAGGGGAAGGAGUUGGAUAGUGACAAGAGAAUGCUGCAGCCCCUCUCUUCACACUAGGGAAUGGAGAGACUGGCAGGGUCAAGGAGGGAGCCUAGAGCGAGUUGGCCAUGGGAACCUCUCCUGAGAAGAGAAGUCUGGCAAAAGGCCAGAAGAGAAAGCAAGCAGCUAGCAGGGUGGAACAUGCUCCAUUGGGGAGCCCUGACAAAAAGGCAGACUAUGGACUUCCAAGGAGAGAGCCUGAAGAGGUCUUCAACUGAAGAACAGAGUGGGUUGAAAGGUCAAGCCUGAAGAGGAUAGAAAUUGCUUUGUCUAUAUUUUUGGAUUUGGAAUUUUGUUUAGGGAUUCCAGGGGGAGCCCUGAGAACCCUGUUUCUGAAAGAAGGGUGAAUGGAGAGAUGGUCUGAGAGAAGACUAAAUAGGAAGAAGUCAAAAGGAUGCAGCAGCAGAGACGAGACUUUGGCUGCUGGUUACAGUGUUGCUGGAUUGGAAUCCAUUUUAGUGAGUGGGCCAUGGUUCCCCUACUAGCCACUAGGGAAGGAGAGACCUCUGAGAAGGGCAUAAAGAUGACUGAGAGAAGCGUGAGAGACUGAAAACCUUCUAUUACCUUGGAAAGAGCAGAAUGAAAGUGUGACCUGGCCAGAGGGAUGAGUCACAAGAAGGGGUGUACCAUCAUGAGAACUGGCAGGAGAUGCAAGA